rnacentral:rRNA from 1 species
GGCGAGAGACCGAUAGCGAACAAGUACCGCGAGGGAAAGAUGAAAAGAACUUUGAAAAGAGAGUUAAACAGUACGUGAAAUUGUUGAAAGGGAAACGAUUGAAGUCAGUCAUACCAACGGGAAAUCAACCUUUUGAGCUCGGUCUCGUGGGUUUUGAAGAGUUUCAAAGCCUUCGGAUUCGCGGGAUUGGGAUCUCUUGGUGUACUUUUUCGUACGGUUAGUCAACAUCGGUUUUGAAUGUCAUAAAA